ensembl:snoRNA snoRNA:U49:66Db snoRNA:U49:66Db
CUGCACAUGAUGAUAAUUGAAAGUUCUUGAUAGGAAUUGCCGGCUGACACAUAUAUGAAGCUAAUUCUAGUUUAUCUGAUUACA